rnacentral:rRNA from 1 species
AGGACGAACGCUGGCGGCGUGCCUAACACAUGCAAGUCGAACGGGGUGAUUUUCUUCGGAGAAUCACUUAGUGGCGAACGGGUGAGUAACGCGUGAGAAACCUGCCUUUCAGUGGGGGACAACAGUUGGAAACGACUGCUAAUACCGCAUAAUGUAUUUUGGGGGCAUCCCUUGAAUACCAAAGCUUUAUGUGCUGAAAGAUGGUCUCGCGUCUGAUUAGCUAGAUGGCGGGGUAACGGCCCACCAUGGCGACGAUCAGUAGCCGGUCUGAGAGGAUGAACGGCCACAUUGGGACUGAGAUACGGCCCAGACUCCUACGGGAGGCAGCAGUGGGGAAUAUUGCACAAUGGGGGAAACCCUGAUGCAGCGACGCCGCGUGAGCGAAGAAGGUUUUCGGAUCGUAAAGCUCUGUCUUCAGGGACGAUAAUGACGGUACCUGAGGAGGAAGCCACGGCUAACUACGUG